rnacentral:lncRNA from 1 species
AUGAACAGUGAUAAUUAUUAUUAUUUAGAAGUAUGAGGAACAAUACAUAUAUAUUAUUUUAAUUAUCGAAUUUAUAAAUAUGCCCUUAAGUGUGAAAUUUGGGACGAACUAAUUUACGAUUUAGUCCCGUUUUAAAAUUACGAUUUUGCUAUCGGUUUAAAAUUACGCUUUUACCUCUAGUUCAAAAUAAAAUUAUGCUUUUGCCCUCAGUGAGAAAUUACACUUUUGCCCUCGGUUCAAAUAUACGAUUUUGCCCCCUUUAAAUUUACAGUUUUGUCAUUAGUUUUGUUUUCUUCCUCUCAGGUAAGUUACGAUUUUGCCGUCAAUUUAAAUUUAUAUUUUUGUCAUCGGUUUUGUUUGCUUUCCCAGUCAAAUUACGAUUUUGCCCCGCUUUAAAAUUAUGAUUUUGCCAUCAGUUUAAAAUUUCGUUUU